AGCGGCAGGCUUAACACAUGCAAGUCGAGGGGCAGCACGGGUAGCAAUACCGUGGUGGCGACCGGCGCAAGGGUGCGUAACGCGUGAGACAACAUGCCCUAGUACAAGGGGGAUAAUCCAGGGAAACUUGGUCUAAUAUCCCAUAGUAUUUAGAGGAGGCAUCUUCUAUAAAUUAAAGCUUCGGUGGUAUAGGAUUGGCUCGCGUGACAUUAGCUAGAUGGUGAGGUAACGGCUCACCAUGGCAAUGAUGUCUAGGGGUUCUGAGAGGAAGGCCCCCCACACUGGGACUGAGACACGGCCCAGACUCCUACGGGAGGCAGCAGUGAGGAAUAUUGGACAAUGGAUGGAAAUCUGAUCCAGCCAUGCCGCGUGCAGGAAGACAGCCCUAUGGGUUGUAAACUGCUUUUAUAUGGGAGCAAUAAGGUCUACGUGUAGACUGAUGAGAGUACCAUAUGAAUAAGCAUCGGCUAACUCCGUG
rnacentral:rRNA from 1 species